GCGUGCUCUGAGGAAUUGGGCGUGCUCCACUAAGGAGCAUGCUUAGGGCUUCCGGAAACAGCGAGUAUGCUGCUUGUUGUUAGUAUGGUGCUGUCAUACUACUCAGCGUAAAGUACUGCUUUUCGUUUGUUCUGGAUUCAAGUGUACCUAAGAUUCGUGAGUACACUGCUACACGUUAUAGAGUAUAUCCUGCCAAUGAAACCCAGUCAGACUGAAACAAUGAACAAAUGAGUGCAAAAGUGGAACAGGUCGUUGAAUUCUGGGUAAGGAGGCAGAGGUCCUGAGAACAGAGUAAAGAUGGGGGAGAGUCUUUUCCAUGUUGAUACAUCUACAAUGCAACUCCACAUAUAAGGCUCCAGAAAAAUGACAAGAGAAGUUAAAUAAGGGCACCAACAAUGACUAAGGCAAGAAAAGGAUUCUAUCCUCUCUUCAGUGUUAGGGACCAGACUUAGGACCUUGUGUAUGCCGGACAAGCACUCUACACACUGAGCUGCAUCUCCAGCCAAUUCCCCUAUAUUUUGAAUAAGCAAUCAGAAACUGUAAAGGAAAAACCAUGGAGGAGAAAAAUCCCAAUUUCUACUUACCUUUCCUGGAACAAAGUUGCAGAAAAACAAGCAACAAACAAAACAAAAACAAGAAGUAGAAGAGGACGAAGAAAGAUCGUACAAGCCACCAGGUCAGGACAUGGACUUCAGGAUCAUUAUUUCUAGACAUGGAAGGGAAGUUGAAUGCAUGAAAUCUCAAUAAUGUUGUCGCUUGAAAAAAAAAAACCUGCAUAAUGACAACACCAGGACACAUGCCACCAUAGGUGGGGAAA